UACGGAGGAUGCGAGCGUUAUCCGGAUUUAUUGGGUUUAAAGGGUGCGUAGGCGGGCUUUUAAGUCAGCGGUAAAAAUUCGGGGCUCAACCCCGUCGUGCCGUUGAAACUGAUGUUCUUGAGUGGGCGAGAAGUAUGCGGAAUGCGUGGUGUAGCGGUGAAAUGCAUAGAUAUCACGCAGAACUCCGAUUGCGAAGGCAGCAUACCGGCGCCCAACUGACGCUGAAGCACGAAAGCGUGGGUAUCGAACAGG
rnacentral:rRNA from 1 species